rnacentral:SRP_RNA from 1 species
CUAUGCUACAUGGGGAGCCAGCGGUGCCCUGUAACCUGCAAACCGCUAUAGCAGGAUGGAUGCCAGGCAGCGGGUCAUGUUUUUGGUUAUUCUGUUAUGAUAUGUAGUGUUGACACUUUCCGUUUUGCGCAAUAAAAAGUUGGUAAACCCCGUCAGGCCCGGAAGGGAGCAGCGGCAGCCGGUUUCUUUAUAUGCCGCAGAAUUUCAGAAAGCGAGCUGUCAGUCAUAACGAAGUAAUGAAGAACCGAUUCAAUGCCUGGUGCAUAG